rnacentral:rRNA from 1 species
AUAAUGGGUCAGCGACUUAUAUUCUGUAGCAAGGUUAACCGAAUAGGGGAGCCGAAGGGAAACCGAGUCUUAACUGGGCGUUAAGUUGCAGGGUAUAGACCCGAAACCCGGUGAUCUAGCCAUGGGCAGGUUGAAGGUUGGGUAACACUAACUGGAGGACCGAACCGACUAAUGUUGAAAAAUUAGCGGAUGACUUGUGGCUGGGGGUGAAAGGCCAAUCAAACCGGGAGAUAGCUGGUUCUCCCCGAAAGCUAUUUAGGUAGCGCCUCGUGAAUUCAUCUCCGGGGGUAGAGCACUGUUUCGGCAAGGGGGUCAUCCCGACUUACCAACCCGAUGCAAACUGCGAAUACCGGAGAAUGUUAUCACGGGAGACACACGGCGGGUGCUAACGUCCGUCGUGAAGAGGGAAACAACCCAGACCGCCAGCUAAGGUCCCAAAGUCAUGGUUAAGUGGGAAACGAUGUGGGAAGGCCCAGACAGCCAGGAUGUUGGCUUAGAAGCAGCCAUCAUUUAAAGAAAGCGUAAUAGCUCACUGGUCGAGUCGGCCUGCGCGGAAGAUGUAACGGGGCUAAACCAUGCACCGAAGCUGCGGCAGCGACGCUUAUGCGUUGUUGGGUAGGGGAGCGUUCUGUAAGCCUGCGAAGGUGUGCUGUGAGGCAUGCUGGAGGUA